UGAACUGUUUUGUUCAAGUAUCACAUCAUUCCUUUUAGUCGAUGCCAGAUACAAGAGCUGACCUCAAACCUGCAGCUCAUGGAUGAGACGUAUUUCUUUCUUCUCUCCCUGUAGACGUAUCAGCACGAUCAGCCUACAUUUGCUGCCUGACAGGUGAGAGCAGGUGGGAGAGCCGUGGGUGUCGUUCACUGGAGAGGUGAAAUGAAAAGCCCGGACCGAUGUCGUUCUCCGUCCUCCCUCUGUUCCGAUUUCUGCUCCUGCGUUGGUGUGAGUCCGCUCUCGGCUCCAAGGGCAAACAAAAAAGGGAAACGGCAGCAGGUUGUCAAGGCAACACGGGAGUCACGCACACACACAAAGACACACAGGUGAAGUGUGCAGUUUGCGGUGUGUACUCAUGCUCAGACAUGUGUGGUGAAUAACGUCACCGUACUUCUGUUUGCAGCGUGAGCGAGCGUUUGUAGGCUGGAGCUGAGGAACCUUUCACGACUUCAGCUAAUGAGUGGGCAUCCGAAGCUUUAUUUAUACAGUGCGGCCUCUUUAGUCUCACGGCUCAUGUCCUAUUUUAACACAUGAUGUAUCGGUCCCAGCAUGGCCAACGUCACACCCUCAAAUAGAAUUUAUGUUGAUUUCAUUUUGAUGUAUCUUUGUGUGUUAUUAGUUCACAGAGACUAUGCUGCAGAACAGCUGCAUCUAUAAUUCUGCAAACUUUUCUUUUGAACACUGCUCUCUAAUAGAAUAACAAGACAUUCAUCAUUAGGUCCCUCCUCCUUAUAACCGCUCACGAAUGUGUCUUUGAUAAUCUGUCAUCCUUCUUUUUCUUUUAGGCUCUCUUUCCCAUGUGUCAUUCAUGCGUCGCCAUCCCCGAGAGCCCUGAGAUAGUUUUAAUGGCUGGGCGUGCCGGCGCUUCACAUGCAAAUGUGGGAAAAGCAACGACCAGGCAAAAUCAAGGCAAAAAUUCAAAACAAAUGCCUAAUUAGUAGCUGGGGAUUCAAAUGCAGCCAACAGCACCACAGUCGUUAUAGCAAACAAUUCUGAGAGGGGGAGUCAAGAGAGGGAGUGAUAUAAAUGUCAGGUUUUAAAGAUGUGUUAAUGUGCACUUUCGGGUACAGAGAAAGCAUUCAUGACUGGCUUAGGGGGGUUUGUGUGCAUUAAAGCCAGCGCUCACAUCUGUGUUAGUGUGUGUAGGCCUAUGCAGUGUCAGCUCUUUCGUAUGUGUGCGUAGCUGUAUGUGUUAAUUAACUACGAAAUGCAGAAAGCAUUACCAAAGGGGAAAUGGAUCUGGGACAGCUCAAAUGCAAACACCUUGCUUAGCCAUGCAAAAGAUCAGACUGACACCGUCAAGUUCAGCUUUCACUGGUAGAAUUAAUGAUCAAAGGAUUAUAAUCUGAUCUUGGAUCACAGCCUAGGAUGAAUUAAAGAUUAAUUUGCCAGAUGUUAACUGCGAGGAAUGGAUUAGGCAGGUAUAGAAAGGUAAAUAUACAGAGACAGAAGGAUGUACUUAAACUCAACCCUGAAUCUACUUGCUUCUAAGCAAAGCAAUGUGUAUCCAGCCGUCUCCAUUUUACAUGUCUGUAUUAGGGAGGGAAAUGCUGCGCCUCUAUGCUGGCAGCCCCACCAAAGCCAGGAACAGACAAAACAAUGUGAGUAACAAAAUUAAAAUGAGAAACUUUGUAUAUAGGCAGAGGGCAUAUCCCUGCACAUCCUCCAAGAUCUCAAUCCUAAUAAACUCUCCCCUGAUCCCUGCCAAGUCUAAUUUGUUCACUCUGCUUGUGUUUCUGUGAAGAGAGAUCUUGAUUAAGACACACACCCCUCCAAUGAACCAGACCAAAUCCUUAUCUCACAACAAGGAAGUGAGGAAGAAACUAUCAACACUGACACAAAGUUUGGGCCACUUGCAACGUGAGUCAGCCAUGUUUUGGUUUAGGCAAUUUUCCACUGACUGUCGGGUCUAAAGUUUGGCUCAUUCUUCUAUCCAAUCUUGAUCAGAUGCUUUUUUAAAAAUAUAUAUAUAUUUUUUUGCACAUUGAGCAUUAAAAAUAGAUACAAAUGAGGUGGUGAAAGAAGGUUUGGGUCAGUAUUGAUGAUGUGCACAAGGAUCAAAUAAAAAUGUCAAGAGCACUAUUUCCUGAUCUGACUCAAGAUGCAUUCAUGAACACCAAGGAAAAAUACAAAAUUGACAUUACAUACAGUACAUACUUUAUACUUUAUUUCGCCAAAUGAAACAGUCAAUAGAAAAAAAACAGGGUUGCAAAAGAUUAAUAUACAUAAAGAAAAAGUAUCAACAAAAAUGGUAAUUUUGUGCCCUUUAAAUAAACUGAGAUCAACAAAACAAUAUAACAACAGAAGUCUGAACUGAACAAAACCUGACCUCCUGAAUGACACAAAACAUUUUUAACCAUAAAUUGUGUCGGUGAUUGUUUGAAAUGAAAAGGGAACAUUUUUAACAUUGCACGGUGCCAACUGCUGAUCCAUCACACACUCCCCCUCCUCUGGUGACUCGCUGGGACAGAGGGACAGAUAGUCAGCUGUAGCAUUCUGUUUCCCAGGGAUAUGAUGCACCUCAGACCUGUACGGUUGCAUAACUGGGUACCAACGAGUUAUUCUGCUGUUAGUGUCUUUCAUUCUCUCAUGCCACUUCAAUGCCCUGUGGUCCACCUCUAGGGGCAAAUUCCCUCCCCAAAAAAUAAUACUGAAGAGAGUCCAAAGCCCAUUUGAUUGCAAGGCACUCCUUCUCCACUGUUGAAUAACGCACUUCCCUCGGGUAGAGUUUCCUACUCACAAAAGCCACAGGAUGACGAUCAUCCUCCAGACCUUGGAGGAGAACAGCCCCCAGCCUAUGGUCUGAGGCAUCUGUUUGCAGUAUGUUUGCAGGCUGUUGGAAGUCAGGACAGUACAACACAGGAUGCCUGCUCAGUGCCUGUUGGAUGUCCUUAAAAGCUCUUUCUGCCUCUUAGGUCCAACACAGCUGACUGAGCCUUUCGGGCCUGGUCAUUGGGCCGAGGAGGCGCUCAGGAAUCCGAGUUCAUACGUCUAACAGUGGAAUCCUUCUUCAGAACAAUGUCAUGCUGUGUCAGUGAUGUACGGCCAGGGUUUUCCUGAAAUACGGCUGGCAUACAGAGAGACCUCACCUGUGACUGCUGAGCUUCUGAGAGCUGGUCCAUGUUGGGAACUGAAGGCAUAGGAUGGUUGGAGGCCCCCUUACCUCAUGACCAAAGAGCAACUCAAAAGGUGAAAAUCCAGUAGAGGCUUGCAGCACUUCUCUGUAAGCAAACAACAGAUAAGGAAGCCGC